rnacentral:ncRNA from 2 species
CAGGUCUGUGAUGCCCUUA